rnacentral:lncRNA from 1 species
UGGAUUCAUCGCUGAAUGAAAGCAAACUCACCUUGAAGUUUUGUGUCAGGAGGGACUGCGAUCAUCCGAAUGACCCGUUCGUCUGGAAAAGUUGUUACUGCUGUGUCGAGCUGCCCGGCAGUCCGUGUUGGCAUCAUGUGCAUGAAUGCCAAGCAAAUUGCCCAUCAUGUAAUCCUGAUUGCCCGUUUGCAUCAGCAAUGGAGCUACAGGCAUAAAGGAAUGCAUAUGCUUAGAUAGAUAAGUGUGUUCGUUCGUUAGUAAUUUUAUAAAGCUAGUCCAGGAAAGUUUUCCUCAAAUAAAGUACGUAGUGUGCUGCUCAUGACCUCAUUCAUGUACGCAAUAUAUAUCAAUUCACACUAGUCUAUCUAUCUCUCUAUAUGCAUGUACGACUAGAAUAUUGUGCAAGUUGGUGCGACCAAAGGGCUCAUAUGACUGGAGAUGCAACGAAGAACUGUAUCUAGCUACGUACUCCAAAAUAGGACAAGUCUGAGGUUCCACACGUGCCGGAAAAAAAAUUGGUCUCAGAUGCACGUACGCAUGCGCGAUACCAUCCUGUCCAGCUAGCUGAGAACGACGGCCAUCGGAGUUUUCUUUUUCAAGAACAUGCAAAAGUGUUGCAUGUCUUUUCCAUUACAAAAAUGCUAAACCUACGUAAACUCCUACAAAGGGUUACGUAACUUGCCAAAUCUUAUCCUAAUCGUCCCCCUGAUUUUCAGUGGGGUGGGGCCCUUCACCCCCCAUUUUCAAUCCUAAUCUUACAAGUCAGCAUGUACGUAAAACAAUUACGUAACCCUUCGUGGGUCUAGCAUUACUGUUUUCCAAAAAUGCUAAACCUACGUAACUCCUACGAAGGGUUACGUAACUUGCCAAAUCCUAAUCCUAAUCGUCCCCCUGAUUUUCAGUGGGGUGGGGCCCUUCACCCCCCACUUCCAAUCCUAAUCUUACAAGUCAGCCUGUACGUAAAACAAUUACGUAAUCCUUCGUGGGUCUAGCAUUACUGUUUCCCGAAAAUGCUAAACCUACGUAAACUCCUAUGAAGGGUUACGUAAUUUGCCAAAUCCUAAUCCUAAUCAUCCCCCUGAUUUUCAGUGGGGUGGGGCCCUUCACCCCCCACUUCCAAUCCUAAUCUUACAAGUCAGCCUGUACGUAAAACAAUUACGUAACCCUUCGUGGGUCUAGCAUUACUGUUUCCCGAAAAUGCUAAACCUACGUAACUCCUACGAAGGGUUACGUAACUUGCCAAAUCCUAAUCCUAAUCGUCCCCCUGAUUUUCAGUGGGGUGGGGCCCUUCACCCCCCACUUCCAAUCCUAAUCUUACAAGUCAGCCUGUACGUAAAACAAUCAUGUAACCCUUCGUGGGUCUAGCAUUACUGUUUCUCGAAAAUGCUAAACCUAUGUAAAGUCAAGGAAUAACACAACAAGCUCACAGGCGAGAGCCGCGGCAACCCCCGCUGGAAAGCAAGAUCUAAUGGCAACCCAUGCUGGAAAGCAAGAUCUAAUGUAUUUGAAAGACAUGCUUGACCUCGACACGAAUGGUAGAAACAACACAAGCCGCAGAGGAGGCCAUAUGCUUGUAGACCCUAUUGUUACGCUCUAGCCAAAUGAAUCGGAGUGUGGCGGCGAUGAUAGUGUUGAGGUCCUUGCGGUGCGCGCCGGAGACUGAAGAGGAGAUCGUAGGCCACCAUUCAUGCAGUGCUUGCGCGCCAGACGGGGUGAAACGGUGCAGGCGCAGCAGCAACAGGGUGUGGUACCAAACCUCAUGGGAGAACGAGCUCCCGAGGAACAUGCAGCAGUAUCAUCACCAAAUUAACCUCAACUUUUGUGUGUGUUUUCUAUCAAUGAACUGCCACGACCACGCCCUUCCUCUAUCAAUGAAAACACAGUUCUUCUAUGUAUUUUCUAUGAUGCUUUCCUGUGUGUGUGUGUGUUUUCAAUUUGGUACAUGAACUUCAAUCCUAAGAUUGAAUAUAUAAUAUAUGCUACAAGGAAAGAAACACGUACUGCCUCAACUUAGCUCUCUAAAUCAGUUACUUAUCUAGCUAAUCAUACCGGCUGAAGUAAUUUUGGGACAUCUAUAUAAAGCUACAUGUAAUUGUAAACAUCUCAACACAAUCAGGCCGAAAAUGAGUGGGAAUAAGUAAUAUCUAUUUUUCCUUACCUUGUGACCUCACCAGCCUCAUUGCUCAGAAAUGGUGUUUCUUCCAAACAUGAUCAAUAGAAAAUGGAUCAUACUGUUACAGAAUAAAUAGUUCUAAUACCGGAACUUAGCUUUUGGUGGAACAUGUUGCAAUGGCAUCGAUGCGUUACAAUGAUGGUUGGUUAGGUAGAUGGAGGCCGAAGUCUGCUAGGAGAUGUGUGUUAUGGUACCUGUUGAGGGAGGUCGUUGAAGUGGACGUCCAUGGCGGCCUCCUUCCGAGCGUCGACAAAUGACCUCAUGUGGUGGUGCCACACCGGCAUGUGCAGAUUCCCCACAGCUCGCUUUGUGCUCUCAGGGUGGUGGCUGCUGGGUUGGUCGAUCUAUCAUCGUCCGGUCAUCCGCUGCAGCACUCGCCCCAUGAUGAAAAUAAUGCAUGGAUAGAAAGAUGAUGGUACGAGGGAGAUCAAUCAGGUGAAGAGGGUCACAUGUGUGAGGACUCUUCCCACAACUACCACUCCACGGACACCGGCAUGACCUACCUCACCGUGUCUCAUCCCCCUACCAGCGCCGCCGUCCUCAUCUUCCCUCUUCCACCUGCUAGUGUCAAUCAUUAGAGGCAGUGGGGUGGGAUCCCGCUUGGCUGCUCCACCCACAUUGCUCUGGAUAGACCGUGGGUUACUCUUCCCGACAUGGCUCCGACCAUGACAAUGGAAUUCGAGGAGGUGAGCACAUCACAGCCCCGAUAGCAGCCUAUCCCUACCCCAAGAUGCGUUGCCUGAGGGCGGUGACCUCCUUCCCAGUCACCGCAUCCCCAAAGUUGCGCCGGCAGCCCAAUGCUCAUGUCCUGGCACCCCUCUCGUUCUGCACUGGAUUCGUAAGGAUGAUGCAUGGUGGCGACCAAAUCGACCCAGAACCGCGCUCCUUGGGCACCCUUGUGAUGAUGCACGACAGAGACCGAAUCAACAAUUAGGUAUGUCGUUAUUUCAGAUGAUGUUAGCCCAGCGGUGCGGCAGGCAACAUAUCGUGGUGGUGGGGAGAUCGGGAGGGGCAUGAUCAUUUUUUUUUGCGUGAGGCAAGGGGGGUAGGCUUUUUUUGCGUGUUGGGAGGUGGGAGCGGAUGGGUUCUUUCGUAGAGGGGAUCGAGGGGAGGGGAGUUGGACGUACCAUGUACAAUCCACAACCCCGUUUAAUAGUAGACAUAUUGUUAAAAAAACUUACUACUAAUUAUCUGUAUCACUAAUUAAGUGCCUGACUAAUUAAUUAAUUGCAUUAAUAGCUCAAUUUCAUAAUUGAUUUGGCAUGAAAACUCCCUACUUAAAUAGACUUAAUUAAGUGCACGCAUAAUUAAUUGUCUACCAAUUAGUUGCAUUAAUGACACGAUUUCCAAAUUGAUUAUGUGCUCGGUUUUUUUAUAUAUUUUUGAACUAAUGAAUCAAUUUCAUAAUUAAAUUGGCGUGAAAAAUCCCUACUUAAAUAGACUUAAUUAAUAGCAUGCGUAGUUAAUUGUCUGCCUAUUAGUUGCAUUAAUGAGUUGAUUUCCAAACUAACUUGAUGUGAGAUUUUUUUACUACGUAAGUAGAUUUAAUUAAUUGCAUGUUAAUUAAUUGUCUCGCUAUUAAUUGCAUUAAUGGGUUGAUUUUCAAAUUGAUUUGUGAUUUGGUGCUUGGUUUCCUUAUUAUUUUUGCAUUAAUACCUCGAUUUUAUAAUUGAUUCGGCGUGGAUAAGUCACAACUUAAGUAGACUUAAUUAAGUGCACACAUAAUUACUUGAUUUCUAUAUUUAUUCGGUGCUUGUUGUUGUUGUUGUUGUUGUUGUUAUUAUUAUUAUUAUUAUUAUUGCAUUAAAGGAUGGGUACCAACGACGUACAAACUCCCUUUUUAGGAGUAGAGAUUUUAGGAGUAGAGAAGAUUAAAAUCAUACCCUCUAUAUAAAACCGCGUCUAGAGGGAUCCAUGGCCAUUGCCUCUCAAUUCUCAUACUUCAAUCGAAUUCCAAAAGUUGAAGAUCAAACAUGAGAGGGAGCGGUCUGGUGUGCGUGGCUACUGUCUUGUUCGUCGGGUGCCUUGCUGCGGUCGGACAAUGUAAGCAUAACACCGUCUUAUCAUUAUUUUACAUACACUAGAACAAUGCUCGUGUGUUGCAACGGGAUAUAAAUAUUAUAGUACGUUAGCUUGUGAUUUACCUGUGAAUAAUAAUGCGAUUGUGUAAAUAAAUGUUCAACAAAUUCUGCCCGUGAAUUACCUUAUAUUUUGAUUAGAAGUUUGAUAAAUAAAUUAAAGUGGAAUUGGUUCAGAAGAUAAGUAAUUAAAAUGAUUGGUUAUGGUAUAGAUGAAUGGUUGGACGAAGGGGUGGUGGGAAGAAAGGUGAAAUGAAAACCUUACGCUUUUUUUUCAAGUAGUAGAGAUACAUUGAUGCCUCCAAAUCUACAAUAGUUGUAGAGGUAUAUGUAUAGGCCGUACGUUGUUGUGUUCUAACAUGCAUAUUGUGUUGAAAAUAUGAGCAAAUUACUACGAGAUUUAAUUCGAAUAAACAGAAGAUAAAUCAUGACUACAGUAGCAGAGAUUGAACUAAUCAUGCGAACUAGCAUAGCAGAUGAACAGAUCACAUCUAGGGCACAUACUAGAAACAUGAAUUCUACCACGAUCUCGAACAGGAAAGAUAGAAUCACGUACGGUGCAGCGGGAGCAGCACCGCCGGCGUUGACGUUGUCGCCCAUGUCGUCGAGGAUGAGGUUGCCGAGGUCGGGGAAGAAGUCGUCGUUCGCGAAGUCGUCGCUGCCAGCAGUCGCGCGAGUGCGCUCCCCAAAAACCUGAUCGCCCCUCUCCCGUACAGGAUCAUGAGAGGCGGGGUUCCGGAGGCCUGCUGUCCCUACUCCCAGUGCACGCCGAAAGGAGGGAUGGAGAAGACUUGAUCGGCGGCGCAAUGGACUGGAACGGUGGUGAGAAACCAUACGAAGCGGCGGCGGCUAGGGUAGACGUCUGCCUGACUAUAUAGUGCGGGCUGGGUAGGUCGUGGGAGUAAACCCCACGUCCGAGUCGUCACGAUCCAAAAGAAUCGGAAACGGUUCAGUAAUUAACGCGUCCGUUAAUUAUUAAUUAAUGACUCAUUAAUUUUUCCCGAGCAGCAAAAAUAUAGACAAUGUGCAUAGCUCUGUCCUCGGCUUGGCUCAAUCCCGCAACCCGCGGCGCGUCGUGGCGAGGCGUGGCGUGGCGAGGCGAGCGAGGAGGAGGAGCGCACGUGUAGGUCUCCUCUUCUCAUGCUCAUACAAGUGGUAGGAGAGCUCACCUUAUAAAGAGGUGCAACUCUCUCUCAACUUAUGAGGUGGGACUAAACUUUAGCCUCACUCACUCCACUCACAUGUGUGCAUGAAUGGGCCAAGAGAAUUUCAGAAAUUUAGUUGGGCUUUGGGCCAUAAGCCCACUAGCAAAUUCCAACAAUCCCCCACAAAGUCUCAUUGGCACAUUUCACUAUUUGGUUCCAAAACAUUGUUUAUAUGCCGGUGCUUAGUGGAGACUGUGAAGUUGAACUUCCACUUAGAGAUUUAUGCUACACUAGAUCACAACUUGAAUAGUGGACUAUGCCUUGAACUACAAGUUUUCUGCGAGACUAGUUUCACACAAAUUCUUGACCGGUACUGGGCUGCCGCAAGGCUUCCCCGCGGGUGGAGCGUAUACGUCGUACUCCAGGACCUUUCAUGAAUUUAUUAGAGAGCACCCACUUCUCACAGACUGCGACGUUAACAGUCAAAUUCAUAUAGGUGUGUUCCUCAGGAGAUGCUCUGCAGGACAACAUCUCUGCUUACUCAAAUAAGCCACUUGGAACACAUUAAGAUAGAUAUCAACCUGCCAUGCAGAUCAGGAGAGUAUUGCAUCUUCACGGAGUGGGAUAAUUAAAAUAAGGAUACUCUCCUCUCAGCUGACCAACAGCUUGUCUCCCACUUCUACUUCACGGGAUCUCCGAUCACAUAGAGUGGGUUACCACUAUGGACAACUCAUGCGGUGGGUCUCAAACCCAUCUCCAUCGAUGCAUUAUCUAUCACAUUACGUGAUAGACCCUUUGUGAAGGGAUCUGACAAGUUUUUCGAUGUUUGGAUAUAAUCCAACGUAAUAACUCCGGAGUUUCUCAGUUUCCUGACAGAUUUUAAUCUCCUCUUCACAUGCCUUGAGGACUUCAUAUUGUCCUUAGAACUGUUUAUUUUGACGAUCACAGUUUGAUUAUCACAGUUCAUCAGGAUAGGGGGUAUUGGUUUUUCAACCAUAGGUAAGUCCAUCAAUAGCUCACGAAGCCACUCUGCUUCAACAGUGGCAGUGUCUAAUGUUGUGAGUUCUGCUUCCAUAGUUGACCUCGUUAAGAUGGUCUGCUUGCAAGACUUCCAGGAAACAGCGCCACCACCAAGUGUAAAAACAUAACCACUUGUGGCCUUAAUCUCAUCAGCAUCAGAUAUCCAGUUCGAGUCACUAUAACCCUCCAGUACCCUUGGAUACCCGGUGUAGUGAAUCCCAUAGCUCGUAGUGCCCUUCAAGUAGCGCAUAACUCUCUCAAGCGCACGCCAAUGAUCAUCUCCCGGUUUUGACACAAACCGACUCAGCUUGCUCACAACAAAAGAGAUGUCAGGCCUCGUGGCACUCGCCAAAUACAUAAGCGAGCCAAUAAUCUGAGAGUACCUCAGUUGAUCUCUAGCGAUCCGUCGAUUCUUUCGAAGCAACACACUAGCAUCAUAUGGAGUUGGAGAAGGCGUGCAGUCGCUAUACCCAAAACGACUCAAAACCUUUUCCACAUAGUGAGACUGAAGCAGUGUGAUCCCACCAUUCUCAUCUCUCAACAGCUUGAUGUUUAAGAUAACAUCAGCUACUCCUAGAUCCUUCAUCUCAAAACAGCGAGAUAAGAAAUCCUUAACCUCCUUGAUUAAAUCAAGUUUGGUUCCAAAGAUCAAUAUGUCGUCGACAUACAGACAAAGAAUAAUUCCUUCGCCCCCACCAUGGCGAUAGUACACACACUUGUCACCAUCAUUUACUACAAAGCCGUCAGCAGUUAAUGUUCUUUCGAACUUCUCAUGCCACUCCUUAUGAGCUUGCUUAAGGCCAUAUAAAGACUUUAAUAACUUGCACACCUUUCCUUCUUGACCAGGUACUACAAAACCAUCUGGCUGAUCCAUGUAAAUUUCCUCCUUCAACUCUCCAUUGAGGAAAGCCGUCUUAACGUCCAUUUGAUGAACGAGAAGACCAUGUGAGGCAGCCAGUGAUAGUAGCACCCGAAUUGUGGUCAGUCUAGCCACGGGUGAGUAAGUAUCAAAGAAGUCUUCACCUUCUUUCUGGGUAUAACCCUUAGCCACAAGCCGUGCCUUGUACUUUUCAAUCGUACCAUCAGGUCUAAGCUUCUUCUUGAACACCCACUUACAUCCUACAGGUUUGCACCCAUAAGGACGGUCAUGAUCUCCCAGGUUCCGUUAGCUAAGAUGGAAUCCAUCUCGCUACGAACAGCUUCCUUCCAGUAGUCAGCAUCAGGAGAUGCAUAGGCUUCUGAAAUAGUCCUGGGUGUGUCAUCCACAAGGUACACAAUGAAAUCAUCACCAAAGAACUUUGCAGUCCUCUGUCUCUUACUCCUUAUAGGAGUUUCAUUGUCACCCUCAACAGGAUUCUCAACGUGUUCCAUCACAAUGGUGGGUUCAGGAAUUACAGUGAGUUCCUCACUAGAUGGAAUAGGUAUCUCCUGAUUUGAUGAACUUGACAUAUCCUUCAUAGGAAAUAUGUCCUCAAAGAAAGUUGCAUCAUUAGACUCCAUAAUCGUACCAGCAUGCAUGUCGGAUACCUCAGAUUUUAUUAUCAAAAAUCUAUAGCCAAUGCUAUGAAAAGCAAAGCCCAGAAGAACACAAUCCAUGGUUUUUGGUCCAAGCUUGCGCUUCUUGGGAAUUGGUAUAUUGACUUUCGCCAAACAACCCCAAGAACGUAGGUAAGAGAGUUUCAAUCUUUUCCUUUCCCAUUCCUCAAAUGGAGUCAUGGUCUUAUGCUUUGUGAAAACUCGGUUUAGGACAUGACACGCGGUCAUUAGCGCCUCCCCCCACCAUUCCUUGGAAAGACCCGAUGUGUCUAACAUGGCAUUAACCAAAUCAGUUAGAGUUCGGUUCUUUCUUUCGGCCACCCCAUUAGACUGAGGUGAGUAGGGAGGCGUCCUCUCAUGGAUUAUACCAUGUUCCGCACAAAACAGAUCAAAUUCAUUAGAAAAAUACUCUCCACCACGAUCGGACCUAAGCCGUUUAAUUUUUCGAUCAAGUUGGUUCUCUGCCUCAGCUUUAUAGUUUUUGAAGAAAGUUAAAGCCUCAUCUUUUGAUUUCAGAAGAUACACAUAACAAUAUCUAGUGGAGUCAUCAAUCAACAUCAUGAAAUAUCUCUUUCCACCUUUUGUCAACACGCCAUUCAUCUCACAAAGAUCAGAAUGUAUAAGCUCUAGUGGCGCCAAGUCUCUUGCCUCUGCAGUCUUAUGGGACUUGCGAGGUUGUUUAGCUUGCACACAUACUUGGCACUUAGAGCCUUUGACAGUAGAGAUUUUCGGAAUUAAAUUCAUAUUGGCUAGCCGCGUCAUGCAACCAAAGUUAAUAUGACAAAGUCGUGCAUGCCAAAUAUCUGACUCAUUAUUGUGGCAAAUAUUAUUAAUAACUUUAGUGCAAAUAUCUGACAAAGAUAGGCGGAACAAGCCUCCGCACUCAUAGCCUUUUUCAACAAAUUGUCCACACUUGGAAAUUACAACUUUAUUGGACUCAAAAACCAACUUAAAACCAUCUCGACAUAAACGGGAACCGCUAACGAGAUUUUUAUUGAUGGGCGGCACAUGAUGAACGUUCUUCAAACGCACGGUCUUCCCCGAAGUAAACUUCAGAUCGACCGUACCAACACCUCGAACGAUGGCAUGUGACCCGUUCCCCAUCAGCACGGGAGAAGUCCCUGUGGCUUGGUAAGAAGAAAACAUGGAGGCGUCAGCACAAACAUGUACAUUGGCACCAGUGUCAAUUAACCAAUCAGGAGAUUGAAAUACUGAAAGGAUGGUAGGAAAAAUACCGUACCCUGAUUCCUUCAUAUCAGUAUCACCGAUGACAACAUUAGCGGACUUGCCGUCCUUCUCAUGUUCGCGCUCCUCAAAGCGGUUAGGACACUUCGGAGCCCAGUGAUUAGGAUCACCGCAGACAUGGCAAAGUCCCUUCCCCUUCUUAUGAGAAUUCUUCUUGAAGUUGGUAGAAUGUGAUGGCUUGUUCUUUGUAUCAAACUUGCCUUUCCCCUGAGUUUUGUUCUUGUUGUUUUUGAACUUAUUGGGCUAGAAGUUCUUCUUCUGUACCAUGUGGGCACUACAAGCUCCCUCGGCAACUCGAGCACGUGUGUCCUUUGCUCUCGCCUUCUCUUCAACAUCAAGAGUACCAAUGAGAUCCGCAACGGAAAACUCCUGUCUUUUGUGUUUCAGGGAAGUAGCAAAAUUGUUCCACGAAGGUGGAAGCUUGGCAAUAAUGCCUCCGGCCACAAAUUUGUCCGGCAAUACACACUUGAAGAGCUCAAGUUCUUUUGCGAGCGACUAUAUCUCAUGAGCCUGCUGUACAACAGAGCGCUCAUCAGUCAUCUUGUAGUCAUAGAAUUGCUCCAUGACGUACAACUCGCUACCGGCGUCCGAGGCACCAAACUUGGCCUCGAGCGCAGCCCACAUGUCCUUGCCGUUAUCAAACGACAUAUACGAAUCCACAAUGGAAUCAUCAAGAACACCCAGAAGAGCGCCUUUAAAGAGAGUAUCGAUCUUCUCAAAAGCUUCCAGCUGUGCUGGAUUAAGAUCACCCUCAGGCUUGCCCUUAGUGGCGUCAUAGCAGCCCAUGGUCUGAAACCAGUAGACUGCUCUCGUGCGCCACCUCUUAUAUUGCGUCCCCUUAAAGGCAGGCGGCUUCAGAUGCGCAGCAAAACCACUCGGAGUAAAUUGCCUAUAAUCAGGUUUUUGGAUUGUUGAAAAUAUGAGCAAAUUACUACGAGAUUUAAUCCGAAUAAACAGAAGAUAAAUCAUGACUACAGUAGCAGAGAUUGAACUAAUCAUGCGAACUAGCAUAGCAGAUGAACAGAUCACAUCUAGGGCACAUACUAGAAACAUGAAUUCUACCACGAUCUCGAACAGGAAAGAUAGAAUCACGUACGGUGCAGCGGGAGCAGCACCGCCGUCGUUGACGUUGUCGCCUAUGUCGUCGAGGAUGAGGUUGACGAGGUCGGGGAAGAAGUCGUCGUUCGCGAAGUCGUCGCUGCCAGCAGUCGCGCGAGUGCGCUCCCCAAAAACCUGAUCGCCCCUCUCCCGUACAGGAUCACGAGAGGCGGGGUUCCGGAGGCCUGCUGUCCCUUCUCUCGGUGCACGCCGAAAGGAGGGAUGGAGAAGACUUGAUCGACGGCGCAAUGGACUGGAACGGUGGUGAGAAACCAUACGAAGCGGCGGCGGCUAGGAUAGACGUCUGCCUGACUAUAUAGUGCAGGCCGGGUAGGUCGUGGGAGUAAACCCCACGUCCGAGUCACGAUCCAAAAUAUAGACAACGUGCAUAGCUCUGUCCUCGGCUCGGCUCAAUCCCGCAACCAGCGGCGCGGCGCGACGAGCGAGGAGGAGGAGGAGCGCGCGUGUAGGUCUCCUCUUCUCAUGCUCAUACAAGUGGUAGGAGAGCUCACCUUAUAAAGAGGUGCAACUCUCUCUCAACUUAUGAGGUGGGACUAAACUUUAGCCUCACUCACUCCACUCACAUGUGUCCAUGAAUGGGCCAAGAGAAUUUCAGAAAUUUAGUUGGGCUUUGGGCCAAAAGCCCACUAGCAAAUUCCAACAUAUUGCCGAUGUGAUAGGUCGUCUUGUGGCUACAAGAGGCAACCAAGAACAUCCUCAUGCCAACAUAACGGCAAACGCUACCGCCGUGGAUUCAUCGCCGGAUGAAAGCAAAAUCACGUUGAAGUGGUGUGUGAGGAGGGACUGCGAUCGUCCAAAGGACCCGUUCGUCUGGAAAAACUGUUACUGCUGUGUCACGCAGCCGGGCAGUCCGUGUUGGCGUCAUGUGGAUGAAUGCCAAGCAAAUUGCCCAUCGUGUCAUUCUGAUUGCCCGUCUGCAUCAGCAAU